rnacentral:rRNA from 1 species
UACGUAGGGGCUAGCGUUGUCCGGAAUCAUUGGGCGUAAAGCGCGCGUAGGCGGCCCGGUAAGUCCGCUGUAAAGUCAAAGGCUCAACCUUUGAAUGUCAGUGGAUACUGCCGGGCUAGAGUCCGGAAGAGGCGAGUGGAACUCCUGGUGUAGCGGUGGAAUGCGUAGAGAUCCGGAAGAACACCGGUGGCGAAGGCGGCUCGCUGGCAGUGGCUGACGCUGAGGCGCGACAGCGUGGGAGCAAACAGG